rnacentral:piRNA from 1 species
UAUUGUCUACUGGAAUCUUUUAACAAUU